rnacentral:misc_RNA from 1 species
CGCGGGAAGGCGAUGUUGUUGCAAACAUUCCUAAACUUGCUUGCCUCACCGUCAAGACCAGCAGUGCCUGUUCCAUCAUAGAAGAAGCCGGUUUGGGUGGCUAUUUGGGGCUUUCGGUCGCCCUCAUGUAUGAGAGAAGUUUAGGUGAGAACUCUAAUUGGGCUGGCUAUCUCCAGCUUCUGCCGGAUAAAGAGUGCUUGCCCUUGCUUUGG